CACAGGGGCAGGUCCUGAUCAGCCUAGGGAGUUCGCGGACCAGCAGCGAGGGGUCAGGAGUUUGUACUCGGCUGUGCCUUCGCGAUCCAGAGUUUUCGGAAGGAUUUCCCUACUUGACAGUCUGAAAAAAUAACCCAGCCAGGAGGAGAACUCACUCAAGCGGGUCCUGGCUGCUCGAGAGACUGAAGGACUGCGUCUCCCGGACCAGGAGCGCGCUAGGACCCUCACUGUGCACCCAGAGACCAAGGGGGUGGGGGACCUCCUGGGUGCCUAGGGCCUGACCCAGGAGCUGUUCUACCGAGUGAUGCUACCGCUUAGCCUCCACAAAGCGUUCAGCUGCGUGUAUCUCUAAGACAGGAUAAAGUCUCACACUGCUUCCACUCAUGGGCUGUUUCUUCCAGUUGGCGUUGUGUUUGUUUAAAACCUGCGCUAGGAUGUUGGACAGGAAAAGAAAUCAUUCUGGGUACCCUAAUUCUAUUUGCCUUUUUGUGUGUUUUACAGUUAUUAUAUCUGGGCUGAGUUUGACACAGUCUUGUAACAGACUCUUCUUUACGGGUGUGUUUGAAACAAAGCCUUGGAACAAAUUUUAGAAGGCAAUAUAAUCAGACAAAAAUUUUAAAGAGUUGGGCAUGGUGAUGCAUGUCUUUAAUUCCAGCGCUUGGGAGGCCGAGGCAGGCAGAUUUCUGUGAGUUUAAGGCCAGUUUUGUCCACAAAGUGAGUUCUAAGGCGACCAGGACUACAUAAAGAGGCCCUGUCUCAAAAAGGGAGUUUGUGUGAAAAUACAAAUAGAUAAACAAGCAUUUCUGAGAAGCAUGAGUUUGGGGCUCUCCUAAUAAAUGUGUGUUCUGAGUCUGAAACCUUGGGGGUCGUAAAGAGGAAAAGGUGCUGGGAGCCCUGCCUGGCAGAACCCCUGUAAUCCCAGGCCUGCCAAGGUAGGUAGGGGAGGGGGAGGGAAAGAAAGACUAGAGAGAGACAUGGAGGCAGGAGUGAAGAAAUUAAAGAAAGAAAAGAAAAGUAGAUGCUAAGUUAAUAAUAAGACAAAAGCCCUUGCAUAUAAG
rnacentral:lncRNA from 1 species